rnacentral:rRNA from 1 species
AACGAACGCUGGCGGCAUGCCUAACACAUGCAAGUCGAACGAUUGCCUUCGGGUGAUAGUGGCGCACGGGUGCGUAACGCGUGGGAAUCUGCCCUUAGGUUCGGAAUAACAGCUGGAAACGGCUGCUAAUACCGGAUGAUAUCGCGAGAUCAAAGAUUUAUCGCCUGAGGAUGAGCGCGCGUUGGAUUAGGUAGUUGGUGGGGUAAAGGCCUACCAAGCCGACGAUCCAUAGCUGGUCUGAGAGGAUGAUCAGCCACACUGGGACUGAGACACGGCCCAGACUCCUACGGGAGGCAGCAGUGGGGAAUAUUGGACAAUGGGCGCAAGCCUGAUCCAGCAAUGCCGGGUGAGUGAUGAAGGCCCUAGGGUUGUAAAGCUCGUUUACCCGGGAAGAUAAUGACUGUACCGGGAGAAUAAGCCCCGGCUAACUCCGUG